rnacentral:pre_miRNA from 15 species
UUUGGUAGACCACUAGCGAGGUAUAGAGUUCCUACGUGAUUUUUCGGCUGUAGGAACUUCAUACCGUGCUCUUGGAUUUACCGACCAUC